CCUUCUGCAGCUGAAUGCCUGCCCUCUGAUGGUGCACAUCAUGCAUCUGAUGAAGAGAAGAAGAUGGAGGAAUUAAGUUUUGAAGUCAUGCUUGACAUUCUGGAUCUGAU